rnacentral:rRNA from 1 species
AACGGCCCACCAAGCCUACGAUAUCUAGGGGUUCUGAGAGGAAGGUCCCCCACAUUGGUACUGAGACACGGACCAAACUCCUACGGGAGGCAGCAGUGAGGAAUAUUGGUCAAUGGACGAGAGUCUGAACCAGCCAAGUCGCGUGAAGGAAGACGGAUCUAUGGUUUGUAAACUUCUUUAGUGCGGGAACAAAGCGGCGUCGUGACGCCUGAUGAGUGUACCGCAAGAAUAAGCAUCGGCUAACUCCGUGCCAGCAGCCGCGGUAAUACGGAGGAUGCGAGCGUUAUCCGGAUUUAUUGGGUUUAAAGGGAGCGCAGGCUGCGAGGCAAGUCAGCGGUCAAAUGUCGGGGCUUAACCCCGGCCUGCCGUUGAAACUGUCCUGCUAGAGUUCGAGUGAGGUAUGCGGAAUGCGUUGUGUAGCGGUGAAAUGCAUAGAUAUGACGCAGAACUCCGAUUGCGAAGGCAGCAUACCAACUCGCGACUGACGCUGAGGCUCGAAAGCGUGGGUAUCGAACAGGAUUAGAUACCCUGGUAGUCCACGCAGUAAACGAUGAAUACUAACUGUUCGGAGGGCGACCUCUGAGUGGUAAAGCGAAAGCGUUAAGUAUUCCACCUGGGGA